rnacentral:tRNA from 1 species
GAACCUUUGGCUCAGUGGUAGAGCACAUGCCUCAGACACACGAAGACCUAGGUUUAAUCUCUUGUAUGGUUUU